rnacentral:rRNA from 1 species
GGAGCUAAGCUCAGGCCGCGAGGCGUAGGCGAUGCACAUACGGUAGAAAUUCCGUAACCACCGAACUUUAAGCAUGAGGGACACUUUGAGAUAGCGGAACCCGGGCGUUGGUUGACCCGGGCGAAAGGGACCGAAAUAUAGUAGGGAAGUCCGUGAUGCUCGGAGGCGAGAAAAGCUCAUGUGUAUACUAAGGUGCCCGUACCGCAAACCGACACAGGUAGAUGAGGAGAGAAUCCUAAGGCCAACGGGAGAAGGGUUGUUAAGGAACUCGGCAAGAUGACCCCGUAACUUCGGAAGAAGGGGAGCCUCGAAAGAGGCCGCAGUGAAUAGGCCCAAGCAACUGUUUACCAAAAACACAGGUUUAUGCUAAAUCGAAAGAUGACGUAUAUGAGCUGACGCCUGCCCGGUGCCGGAAGGUUAAGAGGAGAUGUCAACCGCAAGGUGAAGCAUUGAAUUGAAGCCCCGGUAAACGGCGGCCGUAACGAUAACGGUCCUAAGGUAGCGAAAUUCCCUGUCAGGUAAGUUCUGACCCGCACGAAAGGCGUAAUGAUUUGGGCACUGUCUCAACAGCCCGCCCGGCGAAAUUGUAGUACUGGUGAAGAUGCCAGUUACCCGCAACUAGACGGAAAGACCCCAUGGAGCUUUACUGCAGCUUAAUACUGGAAUUCGGUAAAUCAUGUACAGGAUAGGUGGGAGACAGGGAAGCAUUGGCGUCACCCAGUGUGGAGUCGCUGGUGGGAUACCACUCUUGAUUUGCUGGGUUUCUAACCUGCGGCCGUGAAUCCGGUCGGGGGACACUGUUAGGCGGGCAGUUUGACUGGGGCGGUCGCCUCCAAAAGAGUAACGGAGGCGCUCAAAGGUUGGCUCAGCACGGACGGAAAUCGUGCAAUGAGUGUAAACGUAUAAGCCAGCCUAACUGCGAGACCGACGGGUCGAGCAGUAACGAAAGUUGGAGUUAGUGAUCCGGUGGUAUGUGAGUGGAAAUGCCAUCGCUCAACGGAUAAAAGCUACCCUGGGAUAACAGGCUGAUCUCCCCCAAGCGUCCACAGCGACGGGGAGGUUUGGCACCUCGAUGUCGGCUCGUCACAUCCUGGGGCUGUAUUCGGUCCCAAGGGUUCGGCUGUUCGCCGAUUAAAGUGGCACGCGAGCUGGGUUCAGAACGUCGUGAGACAGUUCGGUCCCUAUCUGUUGCGGGCGAAAGAGAUUUGAAGGGAGCUGUCCUUAGUACGAGAGGACCGGGAUGGACGUACCUCUGGUGCACCAGUUGUCCUGCCAAGGGCAUAGCUGGGUAGCUAUGUACGGACGAGAUAAACGCUGAAAGCAUCUAAGCGUGAAACUCCCCCUAAGAUGAGGUCUCUCAUCCUUCAUGGAGUAAGGGCCCAGGAAGACUACCUGGUUGAUAGGCAAGAGGUGGAAGCGCAGUAAUGUGUGUAGCUGACUUGUACUAAUAGCCCGAGGGCUUGAUCAA